GAGUUUGAUCAUGGCUCAGAACGAACGCUGGCGGCAGGCCUAACACAUGCAAGUCGAGCGCUCUCUUCGGAGAGAGCGGCGGACGGGUGAGUAACACGUGGGAACGUACCUUCCUGUGCGGGAUAGCCUCUGGAAACGGAGAGUAAUACCGCAUGCGCCCUUCGGGGGAAAGAUUUAUCGCAGGAAGAUCGGCCCGCGUCUGAUUAGGUAGUUGGUGGGGUAACGGCCUACCAAGCCUACGAUCAGUAGCUGGUUUGAGAGGAUGAUCAGCCACACUGGGACUGAGACACGGCCCAGACUCCUACGGGAGGCAGCAGUGGGGAAUCUUAGACAAUGGGGGCAACCCUGAUCUAGCCAUGCCGCGUGAGUGACGAAGGUCUUAGGAUCGUAAAGCUCUUUCGCCGGGGAAGAUAAUGACUGUACCCGGUAAAGAAGUCCCGGCUAACUCCGUGCCAGCAGCCGCGGUAAUACGGAGGGGACUAGCGUUGUUCGGAUUUACUGGGCGUAAAGCGCGCGUAGGCGGAUCAGUCAGUCAGGGGUGAAAUCCCGGGGCUCAACCCCGGAACUGCCUUUGAUACUGCUGGUCUUGAGUUCGAGAGAGGUGGGUGGAAUUCCGAGUGUAGAGGUGAAAUUCGUAGAUAUUCGGAGGAACACCAGUGGCGAAGGCGGCUCACUGGCUCGAUACUGACGCUGAGGUGCGAAAGUGUGGGGAGCAAACAGGAUUAGAUACCCUGGUAGUCCACACCGUANACGAUGAAUGCCAGACGUCGGGCAGCAUGCUGUUCGGUGUCACACCUAACGGAUUAAGCAUUCCGCCUGGGGAGUACGGCCGCAAGGUUAAAACUCAAAGGAAUUGACGGGGGCCCG
rnacentral:rRNA from 1 species